AGAUGAACGCUGGCGGCGCGCCUAACACAUGCAAGUCGAACGAUUAAAGCACCUUCGGGUGUGUAUAGAGUGGCGAACGGGUGAGUAACACGUGACCAACCUGCCUCUUACAUUGGGACAACCAAAAGAAAUUCUGGCUAAUACCAAAUACUCCGCACAUAUCACAUGAUGUAUGCGGGAAAGCUUUUGCGGUAAGAGAUGGGGUCGCGGCCCAUUAGGUAGACGGCGGGGUAGAAGCCCACCGUGCCGAUGAUGGGUAGCCGGGUUGAGAGACCGACCGGCCACAUUGGGACUGAGAUACGGCCCAGACUCCUACGGGAGGCAGCAGUGGGGAAUAUUGCGCAAUGGGGGAAACCCUGACGCAGCAACGCCGCGUGCGGGAUGAAGGCCUUCGGGUUGUAAACCGCUUUCAGCAGGGAAGACAUCGACGGUACCUGCAGAAGA
rnacentral:rRNA from 1 species